rnacentral:tRNA from 1 species
UUCCUGGUGGUCCAGUGGUUAGGAAUCUGUGCUUCUACUGCAGGGGGCCCAGGUUUAAUCCCUGGUCAGGGAA